GAGAAUCUUUGCACCUGAUGCCUUUGUUAUUUGAAUGCCCAUAAAAUUAUCGUCAAUGCCAUAGAGGUUACACAGUAUACCAUCUGAAAGUUCUACUCUUACCGCACCUGUAGUGGUGGUUUUUAGGUGCUUGGUGUUGGUUUGUUUGAAUAGUGGAAAUGGUUGUGGUGCUACUGAUUGUCAUGAUGUGAUGAUGGUGAUUUUGAAGACUGCGUAAUAGCAGCGGUGCUACUGGAGGUAGUGGUGAGGUUGUGAUUGUCAUAGAUUAUUUGGUUGAUUAUGACUAAUAAAUUGGUUUAAUAUGUGACCAAUAAAUAAUGCGUAACCUGAGAUUUGUUAAGUUGUGGCCAAUAAUUUGUUAAUUUAAAAAUAAUUUGUGACUAAUUAAUUAAGUAUUUUGUGACCAUGAAAUAAGUUGCGGC
rnacentral:lncRNA from 1 species